UAUUAGCAGUCCUUCCCAGGGAAGUGAAGC
rnacentral:piRNA from 1 species